rnacentral:rRNA from 1 species
UGGGGAAUUUUGGACAAUGGGCGCAAGCCUGAUCCAGCCAUGCCGCGUGAGUGAAGAAGGCCUUCGGGUUGUAAAGCUCUUUCGGCGGGGACGAAACGGUCCGUGUCAACACCACGGAUCACUGACGGUACCCGCAGAAGAAGCACCGGCUAACUACGUGCCAGCAGCCGCGGUAAUACGUAGGGUGCAGGCGUUAAUCGGAAUUACUGGGCGUAAAGCGUGCGCAGGUGGUUUGCUAAGACAGGUGUGAAAUCCCCGGGCUUAACCUGGGAACUGCGCUUGUAACUGGCAAGCUUGAGUGCGGCAGAGGGGGGUGGAAUUCCACGUGUAGCAGUGAAAUGCGUAGAGAUGUGGAGGAACACCGAUGGCGAAGGCAGCCCCCUGGGUCGACACUGACGCUCAUGCACGAAAGCGUGGGGAGCAAACAGGAUUAGAUACCCUGGUAGUCCACGCCCUAAACUAUGUCAACUGGUUGUCGGGGAAGCAAUUCCUUGGUAACGAAGCCAACGCGUGAAGUUGACCGCCUGGGGAGUACGGCCGCAAGGUUAA